rnacentral:pre_miRNA from 1 species
UCUUCAUAUCACGCGCUCUCUCACCUGUCAGAGAAGCGAUAGAGUGUGUGAAAUGAAGAGA